AUCUUCCUGGUGCACUGCCUCCUCAGCCAGCAGGUCCAGCAACAAUACGGGAAAUGGUGCAAAGGUGUCAGGAAAACCAAAGUGGAGUCUGAGAAGUACACGCUCUCCAGCAGGGCCGGGUCUGAGGCCUCCAGACACAGUGUGGAGAAUUAACUGAACAGAUAAACCAGAAGA